rnacentral:rRNA from 1 species
GCGGAACACGUGUGCAACCUGCCUUUAUCUGGGGGAUAGCCUUUCGAAAGGGAGAUUAAUACCCCAUAAUAUAUUUAUCGGCAUCGAUAGAUAUUGAAAACUCCGGUGGAUAGAGAUGGGCACGCGCAAGAUUAGAUAGUUGGUGAGGUAACGGCUCACCAAGUCUACGAUCUUUAGGGGGCCUGAGAGGGUGAUCCCCCACACUGGUACUGAGACACGGACCACACUCCUACGGGAGGCAGCAGUGAGGAAUAUUGGACAAUGGGUGAGAGCCUGAUCCAGCCAUCCCGCGUGAAGGACGACGGCCCUAUGGGUUGUAAACUUCUUUUGUAUAGGGAUAAACCUACUCUCGUGAGAGUAGCUGAAGGUACUAUACGAAUAAGCACCGGCUAACUCCGUGCCAGCAGCCGCGGUAAUACGGAGGGUGCAAGCGUUAUCCGGAUUUAUUGGGUUUAAAGGGUCCGUAGGCGGAUCUGUAAGUCAGUGGUGAAAUCUCACAGCUUAACUGUGAAACUGCCAUUGAUACUGCAGGUCUUGAGUGUUAUUGAAGUAGCUGGAAUAAGUAGUGUAGCGGUGAAAUGCAUAGAUAUUACUUAGAACACCAAUUGCGAAGGCAGGUUACUAAGCAACAACUGACGCUGAUGGACGAAAGCGUGGGGAGCGAACAGGAUUAGAUACCCUGGUAGUCCACGCCGUAAACGAUGCUAACUCGUUUUUGGGGCUUCGGCUUCAGAGACUAAGCGAAAGUGAU